ensembl:scaRNA
AAGUCACCCAUGCUUCUCCUUGUCUCUGCUCAGUUCUCACAGGGGGAGUCCGGCAAGACACACAGCACGCUCCCUCUCAGAUUAGGAGGCCAUCCUAAGAACAGGGCUAGUUUUUAAAGGCACAAGAAAACAAU